GCAAGUCGAGCGUGAAAGCCUUCGGGUGAGUAGAGCGGCGGACGGGUGAGUAACGCGUGGGAAUCUACCUAGUAGUGGGGGACAACGUUCGGAAACGGGCGCUAAUACCGCAUACGCCCUACGGGGGAAAGCGGGGGAUCUUCGGACCUCGUGCUAUUAGAUGAGCCCGCGUAAGAUUAGCUAGUUGGUGGGGUAAAGGCCUACCAAGGCGACGAUCUUUAGCUGGUCUGAGAGGAUGAUC
rnacentral:rRNA from 1 species